CCUACGUGAGGCAGCAGUGAGGAAUAUUGGUCAAUGGCCGAGAGGCUGAACCAGCCAAGUCGCGUGAGGGGAGAAUGUCCUAUGGAUUGUAAACCUCUUUUGUCAGGGAGCAAAGUAACCCACGUGUGGGUGUUGGAGAGUACCUGAAGAUACAGCAUCGGCUAACUCCGUGCCAGCAGACGCGGUAAUAAGGAGGAUGCGAGCGUUACCCGGAUUUACUGGGUUUAAGGGGUGCGUAGGCGGGUUAUCAAGUCAGCGGUAACAGCGUGUAGCUCAACUCCAGCCAGCCGUUGAAACUGAUGAUCUUGAGUGGGCGAGAAGUAUGCGGAAUGCGUGGUGUAGCGGUGAAAUGCAUAGAUAUCACGCAGAACUCCGAUUGCGAAGGCAGCAUACCGGCGCCCGACUGACGCUGAAGUACGAAAGCGUGGGUAUCGAACAGGAUUAGAUACCCCUGUAGUC
rnacentral:rRNA from 1 species